ensembl:lincRNA 4831440E17Rik RIKEN cDNA 4831440E17 gene
CGCGCCGUCAGCCCGUCAGGCCCACGCCGCGGCGAAGUUUUGACAGCUGCUCCAGUUGUUGUGGCCUUUUCAGCUUUAUUAUAUGUACAGUCAAAGGAAGCUUGGAGCAGGGAAGAAAGCUGCCAUAUGAAAGGUAAGCUACAAAUUAAAAGGAGAGAGGAAAUUGGGGUUUCUAGACAAAUUAAAUUACUUGUCGUUGUGGUAUAUUGAACCCAGAACUGCACACACAGCUAAGCUAACACUCCACCACUGAGUUUUAUCCCUAGACGGAAUCGUUUUUAAAGAUUUUUUUUAAGAAAUGUUUUUUGUUUGUAUUCGUGUCCGCAUGAGUUUAUGUACACCAUGUACGUGGAGAUACCUGAGAAGGCCAGAAGGUGUUCAGUCCCCUAGAUUGAGGUUACAGGCAAUUGUGAGCUGCCAUGUGGGCACUGGAAAUCAACUCCAGUUUCCUGCAAGAACAGUGCUCUGAAUCGCUAAGCCAGCUCUCCAGCCCCUGGACCUGGCUUUUAAAUAUAAACUUUUAAAAUAAAGCCUUUUUCUUUUGAUACUAGAAUAAGAAAAGUAUUCAUCUAAAAAAAUUAAACGUUAUAUUAUUGUUGCUAUGGUUAAAAUAGAGGAAUGGGCAUGGAACCAGGUAUAGUGGCCCAUACCUUUAAUACCAGGACUAGAAAGACAGGCAGAUGGAUCUCUAUGAGUUUGGGGACAGCAUGGUCUGCAUAAGACAACCCAACCAAGACUACAUAGUGAGACCCUGUCUUUCAAAAAAAAAAAAAAUUAGGGCUAUACAUAAUGAAACUUAUGAUACUUGGCUUCAGGUGUGUAGUUAUUCAUGUAAUUCAUAAAUUAAGAGAUGAUAGAACUUAAUAAAAAAUUGUAAAAUAUAGCUCAAAAUCAAAUGGGCUUGAUGAUACAACCCUAUAACCCAGUACUUGGGAGGAGGAAGCAGGAGGAUGAGUAGUAGUUCAAAGACAUUUCUCACUCUGUAGUGGAAUGGAAGCCAGCCUAGGAAAUGCAUAGCACCCUAUCUC